UACGAAGGGUGCUAGCGUUGUUCGGAAUCACUGGGCGUAAAGCGCGCGUAGGCGGCGACUCAAGUCAGGGGUGAAAUCCCGGGGCUCAACCCCGGAAUUGCCUUUGAAACUGUGUUGCUAGAGUGUCGGAGGGGAUAGCGGAAUUGCUAAUGUAGAGGUGAAAUUCGUAGAUAUUAGCAGGAACACCGGUGGCGAAGGCGGCUAUCUGGACGACAACUGACGCUGAGGCGCGAAAGCGUGGGGAUCAAGCAGG
rnacentral:rRNA from 1 species